AUUGAACGCUGGCGGCAUGCUUUACACAUGCAAGUCGGACGGCAGCACAGAGAAGCUUGCUUCUUGGGUGGCGAGUGGCGUACGGGGGAGUAAUAUAUCGGAACGUACCGAGUAAUGGGGGAGAACUAAUCGAAAGAUUAGCUAAUACCGCAUAUUCUCUGAGGAGGAAAGCAGGGGACCUUCGGGCCUUGCGUUAUUCGAGCGGCCGAUAUCUGAGUAGCUAGUUGGUGGGGUAAAGGCCUACCAAGGCGACGAUCAGUAGCGGGUCUGUGAGGAUGAUCCGCCACACUGGGACUGAGACACGGCCCAGACGCCUACGGGAGGCAGCAGUGGGGAAUUUUGGACAAUGGGCGCAAGCCUGAUCCAGCCAUGCCGCGUGUCUGAAGAAGGCCUUCGGGUUGUAAAGGACUUUUGUCAGGGAAGAAAAGGCUGUUGCUAAUAUCGACAGCUGAUGACGGUACCUGAAGAAUAAGCACCGGCUAACUACGUG
rnacentral:rRNA from 1 species